rnacentral:rRNA from 1 species
CCUACGGGUGGCAGCAGUGAGGAAUAUUGGUCAAUGGGCGGGAGCCUGAACCAGCCAAGCCGCGUGAGGGAAGACGGUACAGCGUAUCGUAAACCUCUUUUGUCAGGGAACAAAGGCGGGGACUAGUCCCCGGAUGAGGGUACCUGAAGAAAAAGCAUCGGCUAACUCCGUGCCAGCAGCCGCGGUAAUACGGAGGAUGCGAGCGUUAUCCGGAUUUAUGGGGUUUAAAGGGUGCGCAGGCGGCCUGUUAAGUCAGCGGUAAAAUCCCGGGGCUCAACCCCGGCGAGCCGUUGAAACUGGCGGGCUUGAGUUGGAGAGAGGUACGCGGAAUGCGCGGUGUAGCGGUGAAAUGCUUAGAUAUCGCGCAGAACCCCGAUUGCGAAGGCAGCGUACCGGCUCCACACUGACGCUGAGGCACGAAAGCGUGGGUAUCGAACAGGAUUAGAUACCCGGGUAGUC